GGGGCAGUCUGCCCUGGGUCCCAACACUGCUUUUGAGUCAAGAUUGCAAGACUACUGUUAGUUAUGUCUGACCAGAUACUGAAAGUCAAAGGUCAGCAGAUGGAAGCAGAGCUGGUUGGGACAUGGAGAAUUGUCUCAGAGCACGUCUCGAUGAUACUUCAUCAAGAGUCUGCUGCUUCCAGGCUUGCUUUCUUCAGUCAGCUGAAUGCAGGGAACGAGGAAGCUCCAGGGCAGAGCUGCAAGAUGGAAGGAGCCAGGAUCCCUGAGUCGGCCUGCAACAGACCGCCUGCUGACCAGGAACACCUGCCGUGGAAGUUUACCAGAGCGAGAGAGAGACUUCUGUUGUGCUUUGGCCAGUUGAGGAGACUGUGCUGUAGGAUCUCCACAACUUCUGGAGUUCGUCCUUUUUUGACCUCCUCAAAGGGAAAGGGCAAAAGAGCAUUGGGAGCUUUUAUAAAUGCACGUGUGUGCACGCCAGCCAUGCUGCACACUAUCCCCUGUUGUGACUUUACCAUGGGCCUGGUGCCAACACGUGCUAACUGCACACUGCUUGCACCACUAAUUUGGGAGAUGAAAUUCCUAGGGCAUAUAGGAGGGUGGUCCCGUAAGAUUAGUACCAUAUAGCCUAGGUGUGUAGUAGUCUAUACCAUCUAGGUUUGUGUGAGUACACUCUAUGAUGAAUUGUGUAAGUACGCUCAAUGAUGAAACUGCCUAACACAUUUCUCAGAAUGUAUCCCCAUCAUUGAGCAAUGCGUGGCUAUAUUUCUGUCAUCCUCCCCUCUUAGCCAGUCCAAUUGCUGCUAUUCCUGCAAGAUUCACCGAAGUCUUACAUCCUCUAAGGAACCUUAGUGUUCUAAUUAAUCUCUUUGUCCCCCAGAUAAGAGAAAGAAAGAAAUAUAGUAAUAGAAAAAAGACAAAAUUAGCAUUAUUUUCAGAGGAUGAUGAUGCUAAGGUGUUUAAAGCAAAAGCCAACUGAGUAAAUUUGAAGAUCGAAUUGGCUCUAUCCAACAAUUCAUGAAUUGAGCAGCAUCCCAGCUAGCAAAUAGAAGGGAG
rnacentral:lncRNA from 1 species